UAUCGGUUCUAGCUGCAGUAAUCGCUGCCACUGCCAGUCUGCCGUAGCCAUACAAGAGGGUUGUUCCUCUGUGGUCACGUCUCCAUGAAGCAGUCAGGUUCUUUGUGAGUCUGUUCUGUGCAGCAGCAGAGAGAGAGCAGCAGACAGGAGAGAAGAUCCAGGAGCUGUUAGCAUCACUGUGCACAUAUCAAACAUUCCCUCUUCAUGAGAAAUACUUCUAUGAUGAUGAUCUGAAGCAAUAUCAGAGUGACUUCCUCCUGGAUCUGUACUCUUAUGAGACUAAAACAGGUCUGAGUGUCCUUCCAUCAUUACAGUCAGUUUUCCAGUCAGCUCCUGCAGUCUGGUCCAUAGACCUCUCAGAGAGAAAGACCUCCAUCCUCCUGGAGGUGCUGAAACUCCAACCAGAGAAGAAACAA